GAUGAACGCUGGCGGCGUGCCUAAUACAUGCAAGUCGAGCGAACAGACGAGGAGCUUGCUCCUCUGACGUUAGCGGCGGACGGGUGAGUAACACGUGGAUAACCUACCUAUAAGACUGGGAUAACUUCGGGAAACCGGAGCUAAUACCGGAUAAUAUAUUGAACCGCAUGGUUCAAUAGUGAAAGACGGUUUUGCUGUCACUUAUAGAUGGAUCCGCGCCGCAUUAGCUAGUUGGUAAGGUAACGGCUUACCAAGGCAACGAUGCGUAGCCGACCUGAGAGGGUGGUGGGGCAAGAUGGAAGUAAUACACGGAAGAGAGAGAAAAGGGGAGCGGGAGAAGGGGAGGGACAGAAAAGGGAGAAAGACAGAAGAAGCAAAGGAGCGGGAGAAAAAAAGGUAUACGGAUAGAAAAAAUCGGGUAGAAGGGAAGAACAAAUGGGUAAGUAACUAUGCACGUCGGGACGGUACCGAAUAAGAAAGCCAAGACUAACUACGUG
rnacentral:rRNA from 1 species